rnacentral:antisense_RNA from 1 species
UGUGGGAGCUGGCUUGCCAGCGAUGGCUUCGGCACAUUCAACGUCUUCAUGGCAGACAAGUCGCUAUCGCUGGCAAGCCAGCUCCCACA